GAUCGCAGUCGGCCUCGUGUCGGCGACGGAUCUUUCAAAUGUCUGCCCUAUCAAUUUUCGAUGGUAGGUGACCUGCCUACCAUGGUGAUAACGGGUAACGGGGAAUCAGGGUUCGAUUCCGGAGAGGGAGCCUGAGAAACGGCUACCACUUCCAAGGAAGGCAGCAGGCACGCAAAUUACCCAAUCCCGGCACGGGGAGGUAGUGACGAAAAAUACGGAUACGGGACUCAAUAGAGGCUCCGUAAUUCGAAUGAGUACAAUUUAAAUCCUUUAACGAGGAUCAACUGGAGGGCAAGUCUGGUGCCAGCAGCCGCGGUAACUCCAGCUCCAGAAGCGUAUAUUAAAGUUGUUGCAGUUAAAAAGCUCGUAGUUGGAUCUGGGUCGUAUGGCUACAUGCCGUUGCUUGUAUUCGCGGUUCGGUUACGACUGGAUCGUGUUUGCGAGUCGGUGUCGUGGUUGUGCAGCCUUUCUGCCGUGUCUGUUUCGACAGGUGCUUACUGAAUCGGUGAGUUCGUCUUGCUGGUUUGUUUGCAUGCUUCCGUAUGCCUUNUAACGGGUGUCGGGGGCGGACGGCACGUUUACUUUGAACAAUUUGAGUGCUCAAAGCAGGCCCGUGUGCCUGAAAAUUCUUGCAUGGAAUAAUGGAAUAGGACUUCG
rnacentral:rRNA from 1 species